rnacentral:lncRNA from 1 species
AGAGGCAGAUGGUUGGGAAGCUUGAUCCGCGGACUGUUGCAGUUCUGAUCCGUUGAAGCAAGGGAUAAGGGUGGUAGGUGGGUAGCUGGGAGCGGAAGAACUGAGAUAAGGAUACACAAGUUCACCCACGGAUGCUGAGAUUUGCUGGGGUUUGAAUGAAGAAGGGGAUCAUAACGGGAUGAAGACUUGGUUUGGAAGGAUAGUGCCGUGGAUGCUGAUCUUACGAACAGAG